rnacentral:rRNA from 1 species
AUUGAACGCUGGCGGCAGGCCUAACACAUGCAAGUCGAACGAGUGGCGGACGGGUGAAUAAUGUCUGUGAAACUGCCUGAUGGAGGGGGAUAACUACUGGAAACGGUAGCUAAUACCGCCUACCAUCGGAUGUGCCCAGAGGGGAUUAGCUAGUAGGUGGGGUAAAGGCUCACCUAGGCGACGAUCCCUAGCUGGUCUGAGAGGAUGACGAGCGACAGUGGAACGGAGACAAGGUCCAGACUCCUAAGGGAGGCAGCAGUGGGGAAUAUUGGAAAAUGGGGGCAAGCCUGAUGCAGCCAUGACGCGUGUAUGAAGAAGGCCUUCGGGGUGUAAAGUACUUUCAGCGGGGAGGCGUUACCCGCAGAAGAAGCACCGGCUAACUCCGUGCCAGCAGCCGCGGUAAUAC